rnacentral:lncRNA from 1 species
AGGCAACCCAACUUUUUAAUUUUUAAUCUUUUUAUUUAAUUUUAUGCAUUUUUCUGAUUUUUAUUUGAUUAGCUAUCAUUGUUUUGGUAGGUAAUUUUUGAAAUCCCACAUAUCAUGGUUCUUCACAAGUUUGGGAGUGAAUUGUUUUACAAGAUGGUCACUAGCCCAAGUUCAUCAAGAGCAUCACAAAUCCAAGUCAAGCAUUGGUACCCCUUCACCGAAUGUCUAAUUGGGAAAGUUUCGUUAUCCCUCUUCUCUUUUAUCUUGUUUUUUACAUAUUAAGGACAAUGUGUGAUUUAAGUUCGAGGGUGAUUGUGCUUAAAUUGGUGGUGUUGUAAUAAUAUGUUAGAUAGCCUUGCCAACUUGGGAUGGUUUGAUGUUUGAAAUUCUUAUUGAUUCAUAAGCUAUGCAUGACCAAAUGUGCUAUUUGUGCCUAAUUUUUUCAAUUGCUUAUCCUUUUUAAGACCUUGAAUUAUUUUGAGCAUAAUAGUCAUGACUAAUUGUUAUCUAGAUAUGAAAACUUUUGAUUGAUGGAGAGACUUUGAAUUGGUAAGAACUAGGCUGUGCGUUGCUUAAAAUUUUAUAUCAACAUAUACUUUCUUUUCUUUCACUUUAACUAUAUUGUGAGAUAAGUUUGGGGGUGGUGGAGCCAGUGAAGGAUAUUAUCUAGAAGAGUGUAAUUCCGGUGCAUGUUGAAAAUAUUUGUGUGGACUAUCUUUUCCCAUUUAUAAGCUAGGUAUUGAUCAUAUGCUAGGUAUCUAAGCCCCAUUUUUGUUGCUCUUUAAACAAAUUGAAAAAAAAAAAACAAAAACAAAAAAGAGUUAUUGCCCUUGUUGAAUCUUGGGCCUCACUUUGUAAACUUUUUUUCUCGAGUUAUUAAGUCCGUAGGUGUAUCUUGAAACUCAAUAUCCUUUGGCCUAAACAAUCGGGGAGUUAUCGACCUAAAACUCAUUACAAGAGUCAAGAAGAAAGUUUAAGGAAGUGAGGCAAAACAUAGGAUUUGGCUAAAAUAAAUUAAUUAUUAUUGUGCAAUUGCAUUUAAUAUUUGUGCUUAGAUAACUAGUGAGUUUUUGAAUUAUUUAGUAUAAGUUUGAAUGUGGAAGCAUUCAUUAGCGGAGAAUCAUCAUAUGACUGGAUAUUGAGAUUGCCAGUUGACCCAACCAAACUAGAGCAACCUUAGAUUUACACUUCAAGAAGCAAAAUAAAUAUCUAUUUUAGUGUGAAUCUCACGAGUAAAAAAGGAAAUAUUUGACCACAAAGGGUCGGGUUGAAGCCAAUUUGAAGAUUUUUCCUUCUUGACAACUUUUUCCUAAUAUAGAUAAUAACUGAAAGUGACUUUGCACACACGCGCACACACACACACACACCCCAAUCGAACAUUGGAUAAGCUUAAAUUAUUUUUGCUGGCAUUAUUUGGGCAUAUUUGUGAAUUGAUUAUACAAUUUUACACUCAUUGAUUUUUAUGCAAACUAUUUAAUAUUGUUAAUCUUUAUCAUGUGUUACAUGAUUGUGUAGUAAAUAAUCUUGCUCGGGAGUUUAAGUUAGGAGGUAUUUAAUAAUUGUGUUUUUGCACACUCGUUUAAUGUUGAAAUAAGCUUAAAUAUUGAUUAAAUGAGCGAUUUUCCAUUCACAAUUAUGUACUUAUUGUUUUUGUAGGUAAAAUUCACCCAAUGUAGUAGAACAAGGCAAAAGGAAGUGAAAAGGGACUAAAAGCAUACAAAAUUGUGAAGUUGGGACCAAAAUGCUAAGUACCAAAAGUACAAGGACUUGGGUUGCAAUUAUUGGCGGGCGUAAUUGAUUUAAAAGUCAAAAUUCGAGGAUCAAAUUGUAAAAGUUCAAAGUUGAGGGAUUUGACAUGCAAUUAUCUAAGGGAUUGGAGUUACAAAAAUCUAAAAAUGUAAAGUGGUGCCGCAACGCUGCUGCUGUGGCACUGCGUGCCACUUACAGGGUGUCGCGACACCAAAGCCAUGGUUGGGGUCCGUUUAGCUACCCUAUUUUUGUUAGGAACCAUUUUACAAUUAAUCAAACAUGAUUUUUGAGCCAUUUAAAAGGCAAAUUGAAUCAUUUUUGCCUCAUUCUUCAUCUUGAAAGAAAAACCCUAGGCUUCUUCUCUCUCUGUUUUUCCAUUUUCAUUUUUCUUUUUUUUCUUUUUCUUUCUUCUUCUUUGUUUUCUCUUCUUUUUCUUGGUAAUUUUUGGGCAAAAUCUAAGAGCACAAGGAGAAUACAUUUGGAAGAGAAAUAUUUUGGAAAAAUCAAGAUCGAGUUAUCAUGAAUCCAAAUUCAAAAGCGUUUUAUUUUCACUUUUGUAUUUUCUUCGUUAAUGUUUUCUAUUUGCAAUGUAUUGUAUGGAAUAUUCUCGUUUUUAUCACUUGUAUAAAAUGAGCUAAAGUUAUAUGUGUUGGGACUUAUAGUUGUAGUUUAAUCUAACCUUUCAUAUGUUUCUAUUAUUGUAUUUCAUGCAUUUUUAUUUAUGUGGCCAAUGAAUAAUUGUGUUAAAUGAAUUGUAAGUCGUUCGAGAGAAGAUUGUACAUUUUAUACCAAAUAGUAGAAACCCUAGGUUUGUGUAGGGGAUGGAAGUAUACCUCUAACUCUAUAUGACCCAUUAAGUUAUUUUAAUAAAAAUUUAAUGUGGUUAUUUGGUUUUAAUCAAUAUAGAAACAUGGUAGGCUAAAUCAAUCAACUAAAGUUAAUUUCGCUCAAUAAAGGUAAUUAACAAAAAUUGGAAGAUCGAAUCUAAUAUCGUAAAUGAGUAAUUUAUUAAUUGGCUUGUGGAAAAAUUAAUUAGGCAACGGUUAAAUUAAACCAUGAAUCCCAACCACGUUUUCUUCCGAAAAUUCUCAAGAUUUUUAUAUUUUCUUAUUUUGUAGAUUUUUAGUUAUUUUUCAAAAUCACAAUCUUUAUUGUGCGUGCGUGUGUGUGUGUGUGUUUUUUUUUUAUUGUUGAAAUUAAAUUAAUUAGAGUUGUGUAAUCUAAGGUAAACAUUCCUCAAUGGAUCGACAAUCCGGACUCAAAAAGUCCACGUUAUUACUUGAAUCCAACCCGUGCACUUGCGGUGUAUAAUUUUAGCGAAAACUAAUUUCAUUGUUCCUUUUAUGUUAUAAUUUCCUAAUUUUUCUUUCAACCAUUAAUCCAUAGCUUCGGUCUUUUGUAUGAUAUUUUAUGCCAACUUUUUAUGAAAUGUCUAACUGCAUCGAUUCACAUGUUUCAAUUUUAGUUUAUAAUUUGCACACUUUCAUAAGAAAAAAGGGGGUUGGUCAAAACAAAAAAACUUUGAAUAAUAAAAGUUCCAAUUCUCGACUUUCCAAAAUAAAUAAAUAAAUAAAUAAAAAUUACUCUUCAAACAAUUGUACAAUAAGGCAUAAUGACUUCUUUUUUUAUGAAAUGUCCAAUUGGACCGACUUGUUUCAAUUUUAGGCCCCUUUUUUUUCCAUUAAUGUAAAAAUGAGAAUAAAAAAUAUAGUCAGUACGGGCUCUACAAAGAGAUAAAAAAUCAAACAGGUGACUUGAUGUGAUGGAUAACAAUCAUAUUUUUCAUUUUAAUGACCAGAUAAUGAAAAAUUAAUAGAGGCUUAGUUUAUAACAUGAGCACUUUCAUAAGAAAAAGUGGGCUGAUCAAAACACGUUGAAUAAUAAAAAUUUCUAUUCUCCACUUUCCCAUUUAAAAAAAAAGGAUCUUGAAAAGAAAUUACUCCAAACAAUUGUAUGAUAAGGGCAUAGUGACCUUUCAUGUUGUCAUGUUCAGGUUGAAAUGAAAGGGACAGCCACAUAAGCAGAAGAAUGCGCAGGGUUAUUCUUGAAACCACAUGAAAACUAUGCCAAUUCGUGAUGGACCAUUCAUCUCAAUGGACCGAGCCUCACAUGUUACAAUUUCGGCUUGUUUUGAGCACUAGUUAGUGGUUAUUCGGGUACUCGUCGUUUUCUAAUUAUAAGUCGUAACUAUACUUUUCAAUUCUAAUAUAAGGAGUAGAUAAGGAGCGUUGAAUAAAUGAUUUGGAGCGAGCAAUUUUGAGCUUAUAUCUGAGUGGAACUCCUACUUUAAAAUUAGCCAAACCAAGUAUAUUAAUGUUCUAUACCUUGAAUUGCUAACUAUUGUUGCAUGUAGGAAACUUCGAAAAAUAUUGAACUUAUAUAUAUCUUUUUGGGAAGUAUGAAAUCCCAAUGGGUUAAUAAAUAUGACAACACAUAAUAUACACGAUAAAAACACCAAUAUACAUCGAAAUAAUCAUGAUAUACACCAUGAUAUACAAAUGCAAAACUUUAAUAAAUUAUAUUCCAAUUUUUUUAGUACAAAACACAAUAUGUAUUGUUAGAACUCUUACAUAUUGUUGUGCUACUGUUGUAAGAGACGAAAUUCAUUCUAUGCUGUAUGACGAUUGUGAGACGAUUGCUAACCAUCAUUAAGCAUCAUAUAAGGAAGCGAAUUUGUCUUAAGUAUACAUUGUGAUUUCAGUGGGUUCAAAUUAUAAUUAUGUCCCAAUUUUGUUCAUGAUUCAAUCUCGUGUUCUAUUCUAUCGAUCAUCAAGUACUUAUUUCGAGAAAAUUAGGUGUCUUCUGGAUGUUAGAAAGGAGAAAAUUGGCACUCCAAAAGAGUGGAUAAUAGAAGACAUUAUCUGAGUAAAUGAAUUGUUCAUUAGAAAGCAAGUUCUCGUGACAAAAUACAGUUGAAUAUUUCUUGAAAUUUAGAUCUUGUUUGACCCCAUUUUAAUGAGAUUUUUGAGAAAAAAUUAUUUUGGAAUAGUAACAUUUUGGAGAAUGUGUGUUUAAAAACUUAAAAGAAAAAUUUUGAUUUACGUGUAAUGUUAUUUUAUUAAAAAAUGUAUAGUUGAAAAGAACAAAGAGAAAAAUGUAUUAAAAUUAAAAUGGAGCCCAAACAUGAAUUUUAUAUACUUUCUAUCUUAGAAAAUGUAAGUCUAAACAAUUUUAAUUUUUUUUUAAUAAUUAAACCACAUCAUUUUUAUGUUGUUCGAUCAUGGACGUUCUAAUUCAUCAUUAUUCGAAUUGAGCGGGCAAUAUUUUCUUAGACAAUUAACGUCCACGAAUUAUAUUACACAAAUAUCUCUUGAAUUGAAUCAGCGCCGCUCUUAGUUUGAUUUCAAAAAAUAUUAUUUUGUACUUGAAUAGAAUGUUUAUUAGCCAAACGAGAUUUCAAAUCAUGAAUUUGAUUAAAAAAAGAAACAAAUCCAGAAUACAUUGCAUGCACCCUUUUUUCUUGAAGUAGGAAGAACACCUUUUAUUGCAUACCAUUAAUUUCACCCGCAUGAUUUGAUUCCUGACUGAUCAGUGAGCACAUGGAAAGAUUGAAUUAGGUGGUGAUACUGGUGAGGACGACCCUACAAGUGCAUGAAGAUUUGGACGGUGGACAACCUUUUAGACUUUCCACAAUCAUUAAAUCCAUAUAGCUUUCCACUGAAAACUUUUAGACCUAAUGUAUCCAUACAUUCACUAGCAUAUGGAGAUAAUUCACCCUGAAUGGAUUUGUAUUUAGCCUCAACAAUUUAUCCCUUUGCAUUCGUGUAAACGAUUCCUAGCCCGUAGUGCCCGCGUCUCAAUUUUACAGAUCAUCCAAAUUAAGCUUCAGUCGGUUCCCAAUUGGUGGUGUCCACUUCUAACUGUCCGCCUUUAAGUUUUUUUAUCACUCAAUUAUUAAAAAUUGCUAGUGUAAGAGAUUUAAUGAAAAGAAAAAAAAAACGUGAAGUAUUGAAGAGUAAAUUUAAUAAAUGUGCUCCUUCUAUGACAAUUUAAAUUAGGCGGUUCUAACUCAUAAGUGGGUUUUUGCACACUUGUUUAAUGUCUAAAUAAGCUUAAAUAUUGAUUAAAUGAAUGAAUUUUUAUCCACAAUUAUGUAUUUAUUGCUUUUGUACGUAAAAAUCACCCCAGGUAAUAGAACAAGGCAAAAGGAAGUGAAAAUGGACCAAAAGCGUACAAAAUUGUAAAGUUUUGAGACCAAAAUGCAAAGUGCCAAAAGUAUAUGGACCUGGGAUUGCAAUUAUUUGAGGGCGUAAUUGAUUUAAAAGUCAAAAUUCGAGAAUCAAAUUGUAUAAGUUCAAAGUUGAGGGACUUGGCGUACAAUUAUCUAAGGGACCGGAGCUACAAAAAUCUGAAAAUGUAAAGUGGCACCGUAGCACCAAUGUAGUGGUGACGUGGCUCUGUCCGCUGUGACGCUGCAGUACCACUUACCGGUGCCACAGCCAUGGCUGGGGUCCGUUUGGUUGCCAUAUUUUUUUGGGGGACCAUUUUGCAAUUAAUCAAACACGAUUUUUGGACCAUUUAAAAGACAAAUUGAAUCAUCUUUGCCUCAUUCUUCAUAUUGAAAGAAAAACCCUAGCCUUCUUCUCUUUCUUUUCUUUUUUUCUUUCCUCUCCAUUUUUCUUUCUUUUCUUUUUCUUUCUUCUUUUUUUUUUGUCUUCUUUUUCUUGGUAAUUUUUGCGCAAAAUCUAAUAGCACAAGGAGAACACAUUUGGAGGGAAAAUAUUUGGGGAAAAUCAAGAUCAAGCUAUCAAAAACCAAAAUCCAAAAGAGUUUUAUCUUCACUCUUGUAUUUGUCUUCAUAAUUGUUUCCUAUUCGCAAUGUAUUGUAUGGAAUAUUCUCCUUUUUAUUACUUGUAAAAUGGGCUAAGUUAUUUGUGUUGGAAUUUAUGGUUGUAGUUUAAUCUAGCCUUGAUUAAUUUUAAUAUGUGCCCUUUGAUACGUGGUGCAUUGUAAUUGGAAUUGCUUGUUCUCAUGCACUAGUUCAUACACGCCGAAACUUCUGAGGUUUAGAAAAUAUUUGAGGUGUCAAAAACAAGCCAUUAACAAAAAUGAUGAUGGUUACAUGCUCGCGAAAGAUUUGGUGCCUUACAAUUGGGAUAAGGACAUCAACAAGCUUAUGUGAGAUGGUCCUCCCUAAUUAAACAAGAUGGUAUUUGCAAAAUAUUUCAAAAAAUUUGCUUUGUUGGAUGAAAAUGAUAUACUUAUGGAAGAUUACAUGUAUUGGGAAGGAUUUCAACAAUGGGGGUACAAUCUACUUGACGUAGUUAAUGGGACCGACCUCUCAUUGCCCGUAGAAUUGGAUUGCUAACCGGUCAUUCAAUCCGAAAAAUAUAUCCACUAUCAACAAAUAGCUCAAAGAAAAUGACAAUUUAACCACAAAGGGGUCGAAUGAAAAUGUAGCAAGCAAUGAGGAUGAAAGUAAUGUGCAUUUUUCCGACUUCACUGAUUGCAUGAAAAUUGAUUUAUGAUUAAGUUUGAUAAUGUGGUGGAAGUCUAUAUAGUUGGAUUUGAAUCGGAUGGAAUAGGCAAGUCCUAUUAUAUGGAAAUAGGCAGUGUUGAGUUUUGGAGAUCCAAUGAAGAGUGGAACAAAGUCAAAAGAAUAAAAAUGGGCAAGGCAUCCAAAACCUUCUUUAGGUGCCCAUGAUUUAAAGGCCAAAGUCGAGUUAAAGAUUAUAAAAAGGAACUUGUGGAAAGGCAACCCAACUUUUUAAUUUUUAAUCUUUUUAUUUAAUUUUAUGCAUUUUUCUUAUUUUUAUUUGAUUAGCUAUCAUUGUUUUGGUAGUUAAUUUUUGAAAUCCCACAUAUCAUGGUUCCUCACAAGUUUGGGAGUAAAUUGUUUUACAAGACAGACACUAGCCCAAGUUCAUCAAGAGCAUCACAAAUCCAAGUCAAGCAUUGGUACCCCUUCACCGAAUGUCUAAUUGGGAAAGUUUCGUUAUCCCUCUUCUCUUUUAUCUUGUUUUUUACAUAUUAAGGACAAUGUGUGAUUUAAGUUCGAGGGUGAUUGUGCUUAAAUUGGUGGUGUUGUAAUGAUAUGUUAGAUAGCCUUGCCAGCUUAGGAUGGUUUGAUGUUUGAAAUUCUUAUUGAUUCAUAAGCUAUGCAUGACCAAAUGUGCUAUUUGUGCCUAAUUUUUUCAAUUGCUUAUCCUUUUUAAGAUCUUGAAUUAUUUUGAGCAUAAUAGUCAUGACUAAUUGUUAUCUAGAUAUGAAAACUUUUGAUUGAUGGAGAGACUUUGAAUUGGUAAGAACUAGGCUGUGAGUUGCUUGAAAUUUUAUAUCAACAUAUACUUUCUUUUCUUUCACUUUACUAUAUUGUGAGAUAAGUUUGGGGUGAUCGAGCCAGUGAAGGAUAUUAUCUAGAAGAGUGUAAUUCCGGUGCCUGUUGAAAAUAUUUGUGUGGAGUAUCUUUUCCCAUUUAUAAGCUAGGUAUUAAUCAUAUGCUAGGUAUCUAAGCCUCAUUUUUGUUGCUCUUUAAACAAAUUGAAAAAAAAAACAAAAAAAAAAAGAGUUAUUGCCCUUGUUGAAUCUUGGGCCUCACUUCGUAACCUUUUUUACUCGAGUUAUUAAGUCCGUAAGGGUAUCUUGAAACUCGAUAUCCUUUGGCCUAAACAAUUGGGAAGUUAUCGACCUAAAACUCGUUACAAGAGUCAAGAAGAAAGUUUAAGGAAGUGAGGCAAAACAUAGGAUUUGGCUAAAAUAAAUUAAUUAUUAUUGUGCAAUUGUAUUUAAUAUUUGUGCUUAGAUAACUAGUGGGUUUUUUAAUUACUUAGCAUAAGUUUGAAUGUGGAAACAUUCAUUAGCGGAGAAUCAUCAUAUGACUAGAUAUUGAGAUUGCCAGUUGACCCAACCAAACUAGAGCAACCUUAGAUUUACACCUCAAGAAGCAAAAGAAAUAUCUAUUUUGGUAUGAAUCUCACGAGUGAAAAAGGAAAUAUUUGAUCACAAAGGGUCGGGUUGAAGCCAAUUUGAAGAUUUUUCCUUCUUGACAACUUUUUCCUAAUAUAGAUAAUAACUGAAAGUGACUUUGCACACACCGCACACACACUCCCCAAUCGAACAUUGGAUAAGCUUAAAUUAUUUUUGUUGGCAUUAUUUGGGGCAUAUUUGUGAAUUGAUUAUACAAUUUUACACUCAUUGAUUUUUAUGCAAACUAUUUAAUAUUGUUAAUCUUUAUCAUGCGUUACUUGAUUGUGUAGUAGAUAACCUUGCUCGGGAGUUUAAGUUUGGAGGUAUUUAAUAAUUGUGUUUUUGCACACUCGUUUAAUGUUUAAAUAAGCUUAAAUAUUGAUUAAAUGUGCGAUUUUCCAUUCACAAUUAUGUACUUAUUGUUUUUGUAGGUAAAAAUCACCCAAUGUAGUAGAACAAAGCAAAAGGAAGUGAAAGGGACUAAAAGCAUACAAAAUUGUGAAUUUGGGAACAAAAUGCAAAGUACCAAAAGUACAAGGACCUGGGUUGCAAUUAUUGGAGGCGUAAUUGAUUUAAAGGUCAAAAUUCGAGGAUCAAAUUGUAAAGUUCAAAGUUGAGGGACUUCACAUGCAAUUAUCUAAGGGAAUGGAGUUACAGAGAUCUAAAAAUGUAAAGUGGCGUCGCGGCGUCGCUGCUGUGGCGUUGCGUGCCACUUACAGGGUGCCGCGACACCAUAGCCAUGGUUGGGGUCCGUUUACCUACCCUAUUUUUGUUAGAAACUAUUUUGCAAUUAAUCAAACAUGAUUUUUGAGCCAUUUAAAAGGCAAAUUGAAUCAUUUUUGCCUCAUUAUUUAUCUUGGAAGAAAAACCCUAGGCUUCUCUCUCUCUCUCUCUCUCUCUCUCUCUCUCCCUUUUCAUUUUUCUUUUUUUUUUUUUUCUUUUUCUUUCGUCUUCUUUGUUUUCUCUUCUUUUUCUUGGUAAUUUUUGGGCAAAAUCUAAGAGCACAAGGAGAAUACAUUUGGAGGAGAAAUAUUUUGGAAAAAUCAAGAUCAAGUUAUCAUGAAUCCAAAUUCAAAAGCAUUUUAU